GGAGAGGUGGCCGAGUCAGGCUUAAGGCAGCCGCCUGCUAAGCGGUUGUAGGGUGAUGAGCUCUACCCCGGGUUCGAAUCCCGGCCUCUCCGCCA
rnacentral:tRNA from 1 species